AUGUCGUACUCAUCGGACGACGAAAACCGCCAGGGGGAGUGCGACUGGUGCCACGACGACCGAGGUAUCUGCGACAGGUUCAUUGUGCUGGACGAAAAUCGUCGCUUCAGCAUUAAGCUCGAGGAGACCUUCGAUGUUCAUACGCUUAUCCCAUGCUUUGGAAGACGCUAUGUCUUGGAGAGGAUGGGGUUUGAAGACCAUGAACGUUUCGAAACCAAAAAAAUUAUCCUAAGUAUCUAUCAUGGUGUGGAUUUUCAUGUAAAGCUGUACAAUGCUCAGAGUGUAACCCAUUUUGGUUGCAAAAAUUGGGAAGCACUUUGCAAGAUGUAUGGUUUUGAUGAGGGUAUGCUUGUUACCAUGGAUCUUGGUGAUCCUACAGUCGAGCUAGAGAGACCUAUGAUUUUCGUCCUUGUGGAUACACCUCCAAUUCUUCCCCCAUCUUAUUUUCAUUCUUCAAAGAAUGUGCGGAAGAUGGUAGACAGAACCUACUACACCGAAGGCUCCGAACUAACUUAUCAGGAGAAAAAUCAUCUGGUCGCAUUUUGUACUGAUCUUGAGAAUUACAAUGUCUACAAUCGAACUCCUCAACAUUAUGGUCAAUAUGUGCCACUAGUGCACGUGUUGAACUACGGUAACUACCAUGGAGAUACCCUGAUAAUCCCGAAUGAUUGUGUGCCUCAUCUGAUGUAUACACACAGUAGCCUUCAUGUUUUGAACAUACAACCAGGUCGUCCUACGAAUCUCAACUGUCCAUACCGGGUUUCUAAAAUAAAUGGAGACAUGAGAAUCAAAGAAUAUAAAAAAUGUAUGGACAGUCGUAAGGAGCUUCUUGGAAGCAACAUUCAGCGAAGGGCAAAAAUUGGAGACAGGAUGAUCGCCAUUCUUCAUAAUGGAGAGUCAGGGUCUAUAUUGUUUUAUGCUAUUUUGCCUUAA
rnacentral:rRNA from 1 species